AUACUGUGAUUCUUGAGCAGAACGCAUCAAUCUUUCGCCUUUUACUAAAGAUUGCCGUGUUUAAGUUUCUCUCAGUGAACAAUUUUUCGGGCAAUGUAUGCCUAACAAAAA